rnacentral:misc_RNA from 1 species
AGCUAAAAUAAUUAUGUAGAUAUAAUAGAAAACUAACUGUAUUUCGAUCGAACUAAUGCUUUAAACUAUAAAUUUAACAGCAAAUUUAAUAGCAAUAAUAAUUUUCUCAACAAAUAUCCAAAAAAAAACAUGUAAUGAAAAGAAAUAGCAAAAAGAAAAGCAAGGAGCUCACCUUUCGCAAGAAGUAGUGAUGCACUAUAGGAAGCUUAGAGUAUUAUUUAGGAAUUUUAAUUAUUAU